UACGGGGGGAGCAAGCGUUGUUCGGAUUUACUGGGCGUAAAGGGCGCGUAGGCGGCCAGCGCAAGUCAGUUGUGAAAUCUCCGGGCUUAACUCGGAACGGUCAACUGAUACUGCGCGGCUAGAGUGCGGAAGGGGCAACUGGAAUUCUCGGUGUAGCGGUGAAAUGCGUAGAUAUCGAGAGGAACACCUGCGGCGAAGGCGGGUUGCUGGGUCUUUUCUGACGCUGAUGCACGAAAGCUAGGGGAGCAAACGGG
rnacentral:rRNA from 1 species